UACGUAGGGGGCUAGCGUUGUCCGGAAUCAUUGGGCGUAAAGCGCGUGUAGGCGGCCCGGUAAGUCCGCUGUGAAAGUCGGGGGCUCAACCCUCGGAAGCCGGUGGAUACUGUCGGGCUGGAGUACGGAAGAGGCGAGUGGAAUUCCUGGUGUAGCGGUGAAAUGCGCAGAUAUCAGGAGGAACACCGAUUGCGAAGGCAGCUCGCUGGGACGUAACUGACGCUGAGGCGCGAAAGCGUGGGGAGCAAACAGG
rnacentral:rRNA from 1 species